CUCUCUCCUGAAAGUUUUGUUCGAGACUCUGAAUUUGUCAAACUGUAUAAAAAAUUUAUAUUGAUUCAGCAAUGGAGCAAUUUGUUGGAGCAAGUUCAGGUUUUGGGCCUGUAAAUACGAGCAAUCAAAAAAACGUUUCUUCUUCUGAAACUGAAAAAACCGUUUCGAAAGAAUGGAGUGGUUACAGAAACUGCGUUUCGAGCCAAUCAAUGGUUCACAACUACGAGAAUUUCAAGCGCAGCGACGUGCCAGAGAGGUUGAUGGAGUGGUGUGGUGGCGCGUGGGUUGAAUUGUCCGGUGACGCGCUCUCACGCGCGAGAUCGGCGUUUUUAGACCGCGUGCCGAUGGUGGAGAUUGAAGUGGAAGGUAACGUUUGUAUUUUUGAUUUUUAUCGGAUGUUAAAGGUUGAAGUUGGAAGUAGUGGAUUGCAAAGAUCUAUUGCAUGGAUUGAUUUUAAAGGAAAUUGCUUUUUUCCGAAAUUCUUUGUUGAUGAAUCUUUACUUGAUGAUGAUAAUGAUGUUGAUGAUGAAGAAGAUGAUGAUGAUGAUGAACAUAGUAGUAAUAAUAAUAAUAAUGCUAAUAUUCCAAAGAUUGAGAUAGAGAUUAAAAUUGAUAAUGUUGGUAAUGAUACUAAUAAUAACAAAGAUAAGAAUAAGAAUGAUGUUGGUAUUAUUGAUGGUAAGAGAAAGAGGGUUUGUGAUGAAGAAGAUACUGCUGAUAGUUCUUGUAACAGUAAAACUGGGGAUAGGAGUCGAAAACGGCCCCGUUUUGAGCGUGUACAGAAGGUUAGUUGGCCAAAUUCUAGGUUGGUGCCUGAAGAGGAGAGAGCAUUUGUGUUUGUGAAGAAUUUGUUUAUGAAUGGGAUGAAGGUGGUUGAUCCUGGAGUUGAAAUUACUGCGAUUCGUCAGUUUGUUCGUACAGGGCCUAUUGAAAAAGCGCGGUGGGCAGCUUUUCAUACUCAAAUGGAGAGUAUACAGGAUGAUGUUGGCCGUGAGGGUCGGCCCAAGUUUGUGUUUGCUUGGCAUGGGGCGUCGAAGAAGGGAGUCUUUGACAUUUUUGCUCAUGGUUUUGGGGUACCAAGUGAUGCUUCUGGUUCACAGGCUCGUGGUGUUGGUGUUUAUUUGUCUCCUGGUCGUUUGCCACAUUUUAGUGAUGCAUUUGCUCAGGCCGAUGAUGAUGGCGAAAAGCAUCUUGUAUUGUGCCGGGUUCUCUUGGGCAAUGUGGAGAAAGUUGAUGUUGGGUCGCAGCAGUGUUAUCCAUCUAGUGUUGCUUUCGACAGUGGGGUGGAUAAUAUUGUGAACCCUAAAUGGUAUGUGGUUUGGACCACCAAUAUGAAUACCCACAUACUCCCUGAGUGUGUUGUGAGCUACAAGUGCUCUGAUCGCAAACAAGGAACCAAGCAGGGAGAUGACCUGAUGAAGUGGAUGCCUGAUGGACCAAUUCCAGCAAAGUUAUUUUUUUCCAAGUUGGGGGAUUUGGUUCCUACUGCCAAAUUUGAACAACUGAAGGCUAUUUGCAUGAGAUUUAAGGCUGGGAACAUGACCAAAGAUUUGUUCAUCAAGCAAUUAAGAUCAAUUAUUGGGAAUGACAUGCUGCGUUCUGCUUUGGCAGGGAUCCAAGGCUCAAAAUGAGAAAGUGUCAUUGCCAUGUGAAUUACACCAGUCCAACCUUACAAGGUUCAAGUUGUUGAUGAAGUUCAUCAAGCAAGCAUUGUCAACCCUUAAGAGGGUUGAUAUCCAAGUUAACUUUUCAAGGGUUAUAGCGAGCAGUGUGAUGUUCGCUGAGAAUUUUUGUAUCAAUGACAACUGCAAUAAGAACAUUAUUGCGAUCUAGUUUUUUAGUUACUUGAAUGGAAAGCACUUCGUCAGAUUCCAGCAGGCUCUAGGAGGAACAGAUAAUGAAUGUUCAGUUUCCCGGUUGUAGCUCAUUGCUGUUAUGUGUUUGAGAGCAAAAAUAAGCUAGCUGAUAGGGCUAGGUCUUGGAGGAAUAGAUGAGAUUUUAGCUGGUAUUUGGCACUGGAGUUUUCUGCUGGUUACACUUAUUCUCUGAGGACUGUUGCUUCCUGGAAAAAGCGGCAGAGGAACACAAAUUGCGCUGCUGGAGAUGUCAAAACUGUUUCCUUUUUUCAAGUGGUUCUAACAGGGCCGAAGAAUGCAUUAGAGAGGAGCAUAACGUUGACUGUAUAGUGGAACACAACAGAAGUUUCAUAUGCUGAAGAUUAGCUGUGUUUCUUCCUUUAUUACAGGUGAAACUACAUUUUACGGACUAGGCAUUGAGAUUAUCUGCAUAUAAGGGCGAUAAAUAAGAAUACAGAAGCUUGGGGAUUGAGAGCUAUUUGGAGAAUAUCCUUGUGGAUGCCAUGUAUGAGGUAUAACAUGAUCAAUUGCUUCAUGUCUUUAUCGUUUUGUGAGUAAAUGCUUCUGGUGCUUUGCAGAAUCUGUCAUAAAGAAUCCUUUUUUUAUGGGAGGGUAAUGUAAUCAUCAAUUUGUUUUUUGAACACUUCCAUUUUUUUUUUUGUUCAGAUUAGUUUGAACACUUCUAUUUGGUAACAUAAAAUAAACAGAGGCACCGUGCCAAACAUAGAAUUUUCAAAAGAUAACAAUCUAAUACUUUCAUUUUUGUCAUGGUGCCACUGUGGUAAAGGUGGAAGUCUUGCAAAGUAUGUUGAGACACUGUUUGGGUAUAAAAUCAUAGAGAUUUUUGCUUCCUAGCUUUUGGUAGUUUAUAUUCUCUGCCCACUUUUAGUUCUUUCCUAGCUUUUGUUGUUAUCUUGUAUUCUGGGUAGGUCUUCAGUUUGUGUACCAUGUCUUACCUGACAAGGAAUUUUGCUAUCUUAGGACCGUUAUAUUUACGGCUGCCGUUCACCGGGGCUUUGGUGCCAGUUGUGAGUGCGAAAGAAUUACUUUCUGACUUUAAAAGCUUUAGAUGUUUUAAGUUAUGGGAAAAGUAGGGAGGUGAGCAAGUUUAAUGACAUUACGUAGACUCUUAGAGUAAGGCUAUGUGCAGUUCACCUUAUUUUUGCUUAUUUCAAAUCAGAUCAGAAAAAAUAAGUUCACAUCAGAUCAGUUCAGAUCAUGCUUAUAUUUAAAAAUCAUUAUUACUAUUAAAUAUCUUUCAUUACAUAUUAGUAAAAAUUAUAAAAUUGAAUAUUAAUAAAGUAUUCAUUGAGACGAAUCAAACAAGACCCCACAUGACUAUAUUUUUUCUUAUACAUUGAGAAAAAUCUAAAAGAUAAGAUCUUGUAAAUCAAAUCAGAUCAGUUCAGAUCAGAAAAAAUAAGUUAGAUUAGAUAAGUUUAGAUCAGAAAAUUUCAGGUGAACUAAACAUAGCCUAAGAGUACUAACAUCUUGGUGAUCAUUGAGCAUGGUUUGCUUCUCCAAGUUCUCAUGGUAUUGAAGAAGUUCUAACAGUGGGGAGCUUUGAUGGAGUAUAACUUGAUCUUUGGGAGUUCUGACAUUGUGUUUUGUUUAGGUUUAAUAAUUUAGACGAAAAACUCUAUUGGGAGUUCGGACAUUGUGUUUUGUUUAGGUGUAAUAAUUUAGAGGGAAUACUCUGAAUACAAUGGUUAUUGAUGGUCAAUGCUUACAGUGAUUUUGGAUAUUGAUUGUUCAGUGUUUGUUUCCUAGCUGUUGCUUGCUUCUACUCCAAAUCAUUAUGGCCUUUUUUAAGUAUUAUGAGUACAUGACACCUCAAAAAGAUAUCUAGGGAAUUUCUCACAACUAAGAACUUCUCAAAAUAUCACGUGGAUCCAAAAUGUAGGCUGGUGAGAUCACGCCCCCCCCCCCCCCCCCCUUGACGUUUGUGUGUUGGGGAUACUUAAAAAGGUAUAAAAGCUGUUCGUUUGCUAGAAAAGGAAGGGGGGAGAGAGAGAUGGUUGGGAAGGAAGUGAAUAAUGAAGUAGAAGUGGUUAUCGUAAGCGAGGCAAAUAGAUGGGAGUUGAGAUUUGACGAGAGAAUAUGGGCAUAAAGGAAUGUUGAGCAAUAACUGGGAUCACGACAAAUGAGGACUUCCCAUUACACUAGCUACUUCCGAGAACUGGAAGAGAUAAUAAUGACCCAACGAUACUGUUAAGUAAGAUGAUACUCAUGAUUUGAACUAUGGAUUAUGAAGAGAUUGGGUGUGAUGAGUAUGAAGAAAUACUCUUGAAGAUGCUUGCAUAGUUUACGUAGCAUAAGCUGUGUACCUAUAUGGCCUUAUUCUUUCCGUUUGAUAGCAACAUUGCUUAUGUAAGAGCUAAAUAUGAAAGAUCAUCGAGUUUUAAUAUUGUGGCGUUACAUUAUAAAAACCAAUGAUUAAGUACUGUCAUUUCAUUCACGCUAUUAUUUUCUUUCAGUUUCACAUUAACUCGUCUAUUGAGGAAAUGAGUUUACCUCAUGCUUUCUCAAGAAUGUGUGAUCAUAUUUUUUUGGUAAGUUUAUCUUGUAAUAAGUGUCUUCCUUAUUUGAUUGCAUUUAGUGAGUAGUGACUGAAAUAUUUGCUUAGAAUUAUUUGGAAUUGUUUUAUGACUUAAAUGAUCACUUUCAAGUAUUUUUUUGGCUUAUACAUGCACUUGUAUAAAAGCUCCCUGCAGAAAAAAGGUUCCACCUUUCAAAAAUGCACUUAUGGAUCUCUUUAGUUGAUGAUCAGGAUCCUGUUGGUUGAUGCAACCUCUCUCAUGUACUCCAUUAUUUUAGGUUCUUUUGAUUUAGACUGAAAGUAUUAUAGUAGUACUUUUUACCUGUUAAAGCAACAUUGAAGACUAAUAAGAACUUUACCUACCGGGGAAUUCUACAUUGAA